rnacentral:rRNA from 1 species
AAGUCUGGCGUGGGUGGAAGACGUUGCUAUCGUGAAGGCUGCAUGGUGACCUGGAGACUGGGAAGUUCACGAAGCUAGAAGAAUGUGACUCGGCGAGCUACAUGCUAAUUAAUGUUAGGCAUCAAUGCAUUGCACCUCAAGUUGUAUGAUGCUGGCUCGUGCUUGGAUGAGGGCCAAAACCGCCUUCAAAACCACUCCAAUCAGGGGAAGGGGGCAAUCCACAUGGUUUGGGAAAGCUUGGGGGGUUAAAUACCUGGUUUUAGACCUUGGGGGGUAAACUGACCGGUUUGUGAAACUUCAGGGGGUUAUGUGGACUUCUUUC